UGGAGCAGAGAAAGAGAACAUGAGCUUGCGUUACUCCCCUCUCAGCUUCUGCAGAAUCUCACAUGACCUCUGAUCAUUAGAAGCCACAUAUCUGCACAAGGUUCAGCGCUCGCAGAAACUCCAGGGGGGGAAAAAUCAACCUGAAUCAGGAUGAAAAGAUAAAAAAUGAGAAUUUUCCUGUCCAAAAUUUUUAACAAAAUAUCCCACUUCAGGGGGAGUGAAAGGGAACCAGCCCCUGGACUGCCUGAUUCCACAGGGUGGGUCGGUCUACACAUGCUGUUACUAAGAUGAAUACACUCCUUAAAAU